rnacentral:lncRNA from 1 species
AUCAUUUCCUAGGACAUUAGAAAAGAUCCCAAGCCCCAGAGGUUGGAUUAAGAUCUUCACUUCUUCAACAGCUGAUGUCAGUGGCUCCUAGCAUUUGGUCUGCAUUUCUUCCCACUCAGUCUGAGACAGCUUCCAAAUAGAAUCCCUCAGCCUAACAAGCAAGCAGGUCUUCGAGGCAGCUGUUUCUGCUGUUGUGCCCCUAAUGAGUGAGCCCUAAAGAAGGCCCCACCCCCUAAGAUGUGACUUUGGCGGGGAAGAGGAUGGACGUAGACCCUCAGCCCCCUAUCAAUUUACCUUGCCUGGAUUAUCAAUGCAGAUGUUAAAAUAAUUGAAGGUGUGGUAGGAGAUACAACCCCUAAUAGCUUUUCCAAUAUGGAGAUUACCUAGGCAGAGAAUGCCAGAGUACCUGAAGAAUAGGCAUACAAACACAUUCAAGACACUGUGUGGAGUCCUGAGGGCAAAAAGAAAAGAGUUCUAUAUGAAGGUGGAAUGAAAAGAUUGCACUACCUUGCGAGAAGUGUGUGAAUAUAAGAAGCUAUUUUGAACUGAGGAGUCUAAAGAAAAGAUUUUGGAACAAAUUGGAUGAAAUCAACAGGACCUAAUUGUGAAGAUUGGAUGAUAUUUUUCCAGGUAGAAUUCAAACGCGAAAUUGCUGAAGCUUAGCUGUGG